ACAAACAUUUAUUCAAGACCAAGUCCUAAGUACAAAGUUUUAUAUAAUCACAAUAGCAUCCUAUAGAUAUCCAAAAGGCAAAACUUUAGAUCACCGGUAUCCGAAAAGGGGAACUGACAUGAAAUUCUCCACUUCUUGUGUCUCCUUAACUCUUCUCUCAUACUCAGCUUCCUCUUCUUCUUCUUCUUCAGCCUCUCUGUCAUUUUCCUUCUCAACAUUAUCUUCUUCUCCUCCCCAACCAAA
rnacentral:misc_RNA from 1 species